UCCGGCUUGUCACCGGCAGUUCCUCCAGAGUGCCCGGCCCAACCCGCUGGCAACUAAGGGCAGGGGUUGCGCUCGUUGCGGCACUUAAGCCAACACCUCACGGCACGAGCUGACGACAGCCAUGCAGCACCUGUGCUAGCCCCAAAAGGACACGGGCUUUCACCCGCUUUAACCAGCAUGUCAAACCCAGGUAAGGUUCUUCGCGUUGCAUCGAAUUAAGCCACAUGCUCCGCCGCUUGUGCGGGUCCCCGUCAAUUCCUUUGAGUUUUAGUCUUGCGACCGUACUUCCCAGGCGGGGUACUUAGUGCGUUAGCUCCGGUUCGGCGGGGGUCAAGACCCACCAAACCUAGUACCCAUCGUUUACAGCGUGGACUAC
rnacentral:misc_RNA from 1 species